rnacentral:rRNA from 1 species
CGGGUGCACUGAUCCGGCCGGGCCUUUCCCUCUGUGGAACCCCAUGGCCUUCACUGGCUGUGCGGGGGAAACAGGACUUUUACUGUGAAAAAAUUAGAGUGCUCCAGGCAGGCCUAUGCUCGAAUACAUUAGCAUGGAAUAAUAGAAUAGGACGCGUGGUUCUAUUUUGUUGGUUUCUAGGACCGCCGUAAUGAUUAAUAGGGACAGUCGGGGGCAUCAGUAUUCAAUUGUCAGAGGUGAAAUUCUUGGAUCUAUUGAAGACUAACUACUGCGAAAGCAUUUGCCAAGGAUGUUUUCAUUGAUAAGGAACGAAAGUUAGGGGAUCGAAGACGAUCAGAUACCGUCGUAGUCUUAACUAUAAACUAUGCCGACUAGGGAUCGGACGAUGUUAUUUCUUGACGCGUUCGGCACCUUUCGAGAAAUCAAAGUGCUUGGGCUCCAGGGGGAGUAUGGUCGCAAGGCUGAAACUUAAAGAAAUUGACGGAAGGGCACCACCAGGGGUGGAACCUGCGGCUUAAUUUGACUCAACACGGGGAAACUCACCAGGUCCAGACACAGUGAGGAUUGACAGAUUGAGAGCCCUUUCUUGAUUCUGUGGGUGGUGGUGCAUGGGCCGUUCUUAGUUGGUGGAGUGAUUUGUCUGCUUAAUUGCGAUAACGAACGAGACCUUAACCUGCUAAAUAGCCCGUACUGCUCUGGCAGUUCGCCGGCUUCUUAGAGGGACUAUCGG